rnacentral:lncRNA from 1 species
AGGGAAGAGCCACAGCUCUGGAGAGCACUCUUUUCUUCUGGUCCAUUAUUUUCCCUGAAGAGACCCCUGACGCCUAAAGAGAUGGGGUCUCACUAUAUUCCCCAGGAUGGUCUCCAACUCCUGGACUCAAGCAAUCUUCCCACCUCAGACUACAGGCAUGAGCCACCAUGCCCAGCCAUAUUGUUCAUUUUUAACCCUGUCUCAGUGUGGCCUGCUCCCAGAACUGUUUCUCCUGACUUCUCAUUUCACCAAGAAGACAUGGACUCAGAAAAAUGAAGAGAGAAACACAAAGACACAGGAGCAGCAACCAAGCCCCUCUUCUCCAGGCAAUCAUCUGACUUCAAUUGGCAUAGACCCCUUAGGGGUGUGGACACUGUCUGAAAGUAUCUGGAGAGACCAAGUUUCAGCAGCCACUAAGCUGUCAAGGCUCUUUAAAAAUCUGAUUCCUGGCCAGGCACGGGGGCGCACGCCUGUCACCCCAGUACUUUGGGAGGCUGUGGUGGGCAGAUCACUUGAGGCCAGGAGUUCUAGAUCAGCCUGGCCAACAUGACGAAACCCCAUCUCUACUAAAAAUAUGAAAAUUAGCUGGGUGUGGUAGUGCACACCUGUAAUCCCAGCUACUCGGGAGGCUGAAGCAGGAGAAUCGCUUGAACCCAGAAGGCGGAGGUUGCAGUGAGCCGAUAUCGCACCAUUGCACUCCAGCCUGGGCAACAGAGUGAGAUUCUGUGUCAAAAAAAAAAAAAAAAAAAAAUCUGAUUCCACUGUUCUGAGUGUGAGGCUGUCCAAGCCUCCACUGUUUUUCCUCUGUGCUCUGAGCCCAGACUGAAAUCUGUAGAGAGUGGCAACGUGUGGGAUGGAAAGAAAAUGAGCUUUGAGGUCUAACAGGAAUGGGGCUGAAUCCCACUCCUGUGACUUAGGAGCUAUGACUUUCCCUGCAGGGCUCUGCCAUGAUUAAAGGAAAUAAUCUAUAUACAUGUGCCAGUGCACACAGUAGCUGCUCAAUAUAGGAAAGUAGUUUGUUUCGAUUCAUGUGAUUGUGAAUCUCGAACAUACCUGUGCUUGUAUCUUGUCACAGUCGCUUCGUCCCUGGGUGACAUCCAAUCCAUCCUUUCAGUCCUAGGUUAACUGAUACCUCCUCUGGGAAGCAGCACCUGAUUUCCAAGCCAAAUAAGACAUCACAUGGAAAUAUAACCAUGUCAUUGCCCCAUGCAAAAUUAUCUGGUGAUUCUCCAUUGCCUAGAGAACAAAAUUGAUGUCUCCUAAGCAAGAACAACAAGGCUCUUUCUGAUUUAACAAUUGCCCCCAGUUCUUCCCCAAACCCCGCCCUCAUUUAAUAUUCCAGCCAUAUGCAUCUAUGGUGGCUUCCUGAAUACAGCCAGCUCCUGCAUACUUCCCUAAUGCUAAGGUCCAUGCCAUCAAACUUAGGAGGUUGGAUCAACUUGCACUUGAAUUUCUGGAACACAAGCAUGCAAAAUGCAGAAACUGGCUGUACCCUGGUGACAGGGGAAAAGGCGUCCCUCCCAUGGGUGGAUCAGAAAUCAAGGGCUCUGCCGCUGCUCUUUGAGGGUAGUGGGUAAGAGUGUGGUCCUUGAACAGAAUCAAACCUGGCCUAACUCUUACUUGUCACUUACCAGCAAUGUAAUCUUGGCUGUGUCUCUGAACUCCCAUUUCUCUAUCUGGGGGAGGGAAAUGGUAAGAACACCCCUAAACUGUUAGAGGAAGGAAUGUCUGGCAUAUAGCAGGUGCUCAAUAAAUGUCCAUUCUUAUUAGAAUUUCUGGAAGAAACAGGCAAUGGUUCCCUGAAAUACCACUGGACUGUCACAAGCAUUUCAGUUGGGUUUCAUGCACUGUCUGAAGAGAUUGAUCCAAGCACCUUGGAUACAUCCGUAGCUCAACAUUAAAAGGCCAAGGUUAUAUCUUCCACUCCCAUCCUUCCCCUCCAGAGCCCCCCUCGGUGGAAAUGACAGAGUCAGGUAAGACACCUUCCUGGGGGAAAGCAUAUCUGCACUCAGGGAACAUGUUCAAGAAUUCAGCCUCUGCCUCUUCAGGCCUUAUAUGAUGUAUGGAUUACAGUAUAAAAAGAUCAAAUAUCUGGAGGCACAGGACUUGGAUUCUAAUCUUGGAUCCUAAUUCUGGCCCUGUUGGUUACCAGCUGUGUGAUCUUGGCUAAGUCACCUACCCUCUGUAAGCCUCAAAUUCCUCAUCUGUAAUAUGGAGGACCUACCUCACAAAUCAGAUGAUGAGAGGGAGAAUGUUUGGGGGUAUAGCCAUACUAUACAGUAUGGCUCAGGCCUAAGGUUCUUGAAUUUGCUUGUUUUUCCUCUUGGCCUAUUUUACUACAGGUUAAAAAUCUGUUAUCUGGCCAGGUGCAGUGGCUCACACCUGUAAUCCUAGCACCUUGGGAAGUCAAGGUGGGUGGAUCACUUGAGAUCUCAAGUUUGAGAUCAGCCUAGGCAACAUGGUGAAAACCUGUUCUACAAAAAAUACAAAAAUUAGCCGGGUGUGGUGGGGCACACCUGUAGUCCCAGCUGCUUGGGAGGCUGAGGUGGGAGGAUCGCUUGAGCCCAGGAGGCGGAGGUUGCUGUGAGCCAAGAUGGCACCACUGUACUCCAGCCUGGGUGAUAGAGCCAGACCUUGUCUCAAAAACCAAAACAACGACAACAAAAUCUCUCUUAUCUACAAUUCCAAAAUGCAAAAGCAUCUGAGAAACAAUAUUUUUUUGUAAUUCAUUUGGCUGCAAAACUUGUACUGAAUUGAUGAGUCCAUUUAUAGACUUUAUCCCACUUAUGAUGAAUAUUCAUCAGUUUUACUGCAGAAAUAAUAACGUGUUUGACUUGAGAAUGUUGUCUCAGUUACCUCUGGGGGUGUCAAAUACUGCAUGAGAUAUUCUGAAUUAUGAAACUCAUCUGGCCCCAUGAGUUUUGCUUAACAAGUUAUGGACUUAUAUUCUAGGAGUAUAUCCUAAUCUAUACUCAUUGAUGUAUCACCUGCAUGAUUUUGUCAUAUCCUUCUAACACCUGUAUUAAUACUUGCUUCAUACACUUUAGUUGAGUCCAUUUUUAUUUACUUUUCCAAAUGAACCUUGUUUAAAUGCACAGUGAAAAAUACCUAAUUAUUAAUAAAAAUGUUUGUCUACAUGACAUUUCAAAGCAUCCUGCUUAUCACAGUGAAAUGCACCCCACACUUUAAGCAACAGUCAUCUCAAACUAGCACAACGGGUUAGCUCUUAAAUAGUUGGAAUGCAAGCAAUAAGGGUGACAUCUGUGAGGUGGACUCUUCUUUGAGGUUUUCAGUUAUAAAUAUUCAGCAGUACAAUUCCACCAAAUGCUGGUUGCAUUCCUGCUGUGAACACGACACUGCUUAACCACAUAAGCUAUGAUGUUUUGUUGGAAAACCACAAACAGCCAGUAAAGAUGGCUGAUGGAGCGCCACUCAGAACAGCUUACCUAUGAUAAGUUCUUUCACAGACAUUCAUGUCCAUUUCCCUCGUUCACCAACAGGAGAGGUAGUAUUAGAAGAAUUUAAAACAAAAAACCAGGCCCACACGGAUUGAGAGCUUGACCCAAGAUCUCACAAGUUCCAGGCAGAGCUGAGAGUCCUGGAAUUCAGGUCCCUGCUGCUGACCUGGACAUGCCUCUGCUACAUAAAGCCACAGUCUUUCCUGCUCAGGGCACUGCUGACGCCACUUUCUGCCCUGGUUUAUACGUUAAUAUUCACAAAAGCUGCUGGGAGCCUGGACUUUCAUAAAACCAGCCUGCUCUCGGACUAAAAUACCCCCCUGUGGCCUAGUUACGAUCCUUUCCUGUUCUCCAUUAAAAAGCUCCGCAGUGGCUGAAGGGGUCUCACAAGGCUUUUAGAGGUUUAGCAAAUCUUCAAAAUGGACCAAGAAGAAUUGGUAACUGUCUUAGCAUUUUCCACAAAGUUAGAGAAACAGCAGUUAGUGGAAACAGGGCAAGGCCCAGAUAAUCUGUUCCAAGGCCACAUAUGACAUCAUAAUUUAGCCUUUUGGUAAUCAAAAAUUUCCCAAUGAUCCGAACAAGUAAAGGAAAAUCCCAACCCACCUGUAUUAGUCCAUUCUCACAAUGCAAUAAAGAACUGCUCGAGACUGGGUAAUUUAUAAAGGAAAGAUGUUUAAUUGAUUCACAGUUCCGCAUGUCUGGGCAAGCCUCAGGAAACUUACAGUCAUGGCAGAAGGGGAAGUAAAUAUGUCCUUCUUCACAUGAUGGCAGGAAAAUAACGCAGAG